AGUUUUGUUCUUCUGUCUCGUGUUCCUUGUCUCUCCAGCAUAGCAACAGUUGUGGGGUGUUUUGGUACUGAUGAACCAUGUAGCCUCACUGCUAACUUGUAACUAACUUCUCCUUUUUGUUUUUUGCUAGAAAAAAGCCCACUUAGAUCAGCUGCCCUGUGAAAUGUUUAGCCCAUUGGCCGGUAGGCACUGGGAAUGGCAUCAUAUUAGCUGAAAGAUGACCAGAUAGCAAACCUUUUAUCUGCAGAACAAGAGAGACAGCAGCAGCAGUCAUCCACCAUCUGGCUGUAUUCAAAUACUGUGUUUUACUGUGUAAUCAGCCUUUGUUUUGACACAGGAAGAAGAAUAACAACACCCUGGUUGACUGCUGCUUCCCUCAGGAGUCACUCUCUGUAGGCACCUUUAGAGCUGUGUUCACCUAUUAUGCUGAUGAAGGGCUGUGUUUUACCACUGUGUAUCCUCUCAAAAAGUGAAAGAAAGCAAUGGAAAUGUACCCGAGGUGAAUUUUGGGAUUUCAUCUCUGCAUGCCUGUUGCCUGCUUGCUUCGUAUGUUUUGUGUCUGUGCAUUGCUGUGCAGUAAUAUCAAUGCUUCCACUGCAGCAGCCAGCAAGUUUUGGGUGUGAGAUUUGGGUUCCUUCUUGCUUCACAGUCUCUUCUGUUCCCCAGAAGGAGCUAAGUGCAGCCUGAUAUUUCAACUGAAACUGGAACAUCCCACUAUUGCAUUUAUUUCUUACCUCCUUUAUAACCCAACUCUCAAACCCACAGGCAGAGUUUACUAAUCUCUGUAAAACAGAGAUGUAGUGAAUGUCCCGUCUGCAGCUCUGCAGAGGGGAUGAUGUGUUAGCUGUGGGGAACCAUCUCUGUGUGGUGGCUGUUACGGCCUUGGGAGGUGCUGCCUCUGGUUCCCUUCCACCUCAUGGGUGCAACAAGCUCCAGCUGAGACAUGACUUGUAGGACUGGUGCCUGGCAGCUCAAUGAGCAAGCUUGCUUCCCUGCGAGGGCUUUCUGACUUGCUGUGGUUACAGACCAAAUGGCUGGUUUUUAUCCUCUUCAAUGUGUUGGACUGCAGAGCUCUGAUGUGUAGGCAGAGCUUGGCUGUGGCCUGGGAUCACAGGAGGGUCCUAGGGGCUGCUGGUGACAGCAAGGGCUCGGGGCAGAUGUUGGUAGCUGGCUUCCCAGUGAGAGCACAAGGCAGCACCGUGCCCUGUGGGAAGGGGGCAGGGAAGGGCUCGGCUGCCUGUCAGAUAAAUCUUGGUCUGUUUACUUAAAUCCUCAGUGUUUCUUCAUUUGUUUGUUUAAGAGUUUCCCUGCCAAAAAAGAGCAGAAGGAAGGAGGGAAGCUGCCUCUGUUGGCCACCCCUCCUCAGCCACCACGGGCCUGGGGCACUUCAAGGGCCAGAGCACCCUGCCUGCCCCAGGCAAGGUGAAGGGAUCUGCCUCUGGAGGGGCCAUGUGCCUGUCUUUGGAGCAAACACUUGGCCCUUGGAAGGGAAGAUGCAUGUUAGGGACUCCAGUGAGCCCACUUCUUGCCCCAGAGCUGGCAUGAAGAACUUGUUGUCCCUUCUAACACUGCUGUGCCUACAGAUGCUGUUUAGUGCCUUUCUCUCCUCUUUGCCCUCCCCCCU